CGCCUCUUGUAAUUAUAAGAGGUCCAGCCUGCCCAGUGAUUUAAUUCAACGGCCGCGGUAUUCUAACCGUGCAAAGGUAGCGUAAUCACUUGUUUUCUAAAUAAAGACUAGUAUGAAAGGCAUCACGAGGACUUAGCUGUCUCCUUUCUCCAAUCAGUGAACCUAAUCUCCCCGUGAAGAAGCGGGGAUACCAUUAUAAGACGAGAAGACCCCGUGGAGCUUAAAACAUCAUAACAACUGCCACCACCUCUAACCACCCCGGUGUUUUCCUCAGCGGCACCCUGAUUAUAUGUUUUUGGUUGGGGUGACCGCGGAGAAAAACCCAUCCUCCGCAAUGAAAGGGACUUCCCACCCUAAACAACAAGUUACAACUUUAUGUAUCAAAAAAUUGACAUUCAUUGACCCAAUAAAUUGAUUAACGAACCAAGUUACCCCGGGGAUAACAGCACAAUCCACUUUGAGAGCCCCUAUCGACAAGUGGGCUUAUGACCUCGAUGUUGGAUCGGGAUAUCCUAGUGGUGCAGCCGCUACUAAAGGUUCGUUUGUUCAACGAUUAAAAUCCC
rnacentral:rRNA from 1 species